UUCUGUAAGCCUGCGAAGGUGGCCUGUGAGGGUUGCUGGAGGUAUCAGAAGUGCGAAUGCUGACAUAAGUAACGAUAAAGCGGGUGAAAAGCCCGCUCGCCGGAAGACCAAGGGUUCCUGUCCAACGUUAAUCGGGGCAGGGUGAGUCGACCCCUAAGGCGAGGCCGAAAGGCGUAGUCGAUGGGAAACGGGUUAAUAUUCCCGUACUUGGUGUUACUGCGAAGGGGGGACGGAGAAGGCUAUGUUGGCCGGGCGACGGUUGUCCCGGUUUAAGCGUGUAGGUGUGUGUUCCAGGUAAAUCCGGUUCACUUUAACACUGAGGCGUGACGACGAGGCACUACGGUGCUGAAGCAACAAAUGCCCUGCUUCCAGGAAAAGCCUCUAAGCAUCAGGUAACAUCAAAUCGUACCCCAAACCGACACAGGUGGUCAGGUAGAGAAUACCAAGGCGCUUGAGAGAACUCGGGUGAAGGAACUAGGCAAAAUGGUGCCGUAACUUCGGGAGAAGGCACGCUGACACGUAGGUGAAGUGAUUUACUCAUGGAGCUGAAGUCAGUCGAAGAUACCAGCUGGCUGCAACUGUUUAUUAAAAACACAGCACUGUGCAAACACGAAAGUGGACGUAUACGGUGUGACGCCUGCCCGGUGCCGGAAGGUUAAUUGAUGGGGUCAGCGCAAGCGAAGCUCCUGAUCGAAGCCCCGGUAAACGGCGGCCGUAACUAUAACGGUCCUAAGGUAGCGAAAUUCCUUGUCGGGUAAGUUCCGACCUGCACGAAUGGCGUAAUGAUGGCCAGGCUGUCUCCACCCGAGACUCAGUGAAAUUGAACUCGCUGUGAAGAUGCAGUGUACCCGCGGCAAGACGGAAAGACCCCGUGAACCUUUACUAUAGCUUGACACUGAACAUUGAGCCUUGAUGUGUAGGAUAGGUGGGAGGCUUUGAAGUGUGGACGCCAGUCUGCAUGGAGCCGACCUUGAAAUACCACCCUUUAAUGUUUGAUGUUCUAACGUGGACCCGUUACCCGGGUUGCGGACAGUGUCUGGUGGGUAGUUUGACUGGGGCGGUCUCCUCCUAAAGAGUAACGGAGGAGCACGAAGGUUGGCUAAUCCUGGUCGGACAUCAGGAGGUUAGUGCAAUGGCAUAAGCCAGCUUGACUGCGAGCGUGACGGCGCGAGCAGGUGCGAAAGCAGGUCAUAGUGAUCCGGUGGUUCUGAAUGGAAGGGCCAUCGCUCAACGGAUAAAAGGUACUCCGGGGAUAACAGGCUGAUACCGCCCAAGAGUUCAUAUCGACGGCGGUGUUUGGCACCUCGAUGUCGGCUCAUCACAUCCUGGGGCUGAAGUAGGUCCCAAGGGUAUGGCUGUUCGCCAUUUAAAGUGGUACGCGAGCUGGGUUUAGAACGUCGUGAGACAGUUCGGUCCCUAUCUGCCGUGGGCGCUGGAGAACUGAGGGGGGCUGCUCCUAGUACGAGAGGACCGGAGUGGACGCAUCACUGGUGUUCGGGUUGUCAUGCCAAUGGCACUGCCCGGUAGCUAAAUGCGGAAGAGAUAAGUGCUGAAAGCAUCUAAGCACGAAACUUGCCCCGAG
rnacentral:rRNA from 1 species